UACGUAGGUGGCAAGCGUUGUCCGGAAUUAUUGGGCGUAAAGCGCGCGCAGGCGGUCCCUUAAGUCUGAUGUGAAAGCCCACGGCUCAACCGUGGAGGGUCAUUGGAAACUGGGGAACUUGAGUGCAGGAGAGAAGAGUGGAAUUCCACGUGUAGCGGUGAAAUGCGUAGAGAUGUGGAGGAACACCAGUGGCGAAGGCGACUCUUUGGCCUGUAACUGACACUGAGGCGCGAAAGCGUGGGGAGCAAACAGG
rnacentral:rRNA from 1 species